GUAGGGGGCAAGCGUUGUUCGGAAUUACUGGGCGUAAAGGGCGCGUAGGCGGCACAGCAAGUCGGGAGUGAAAGCCCGGGGCUCAACCCCGGAACGGCUUUCGAAACUGCUGAGCUAGAGUGCGGAAGGGGCAACCGGAAUUCCCAGUGUAGCGGUGAAAUGCGUAGAUAUUGGGAAGAACACCUGAGGCGAAGGCGGGUUGCUGGGCCGACACUGACGCUGAGGCGCGAAAGCCAGGGGAGCAAACGGGAUUAGAUACCCCGGUAGUCCUGGCCCUAAACGAUGGAUACUUGGUGUGUGGGGUUCUCUGAGUCCCCGCGUGCCGGAGCUAACGCGGUAAGUAUCCCGCCUGGGGAGUACGGUCGCAAGGCUGAA
rnacentral:rRNA from 1 species